rnacentral:rRNA from 1 species
GACGAACGCUGGCGGCGUGCCUAAUACAUGCAAGUUGAGCGCUAAAGGUUGGUCCUUGUACCGGCUGGAUGAGCAGCGAACGGGUGAGUAACGCGUGGGGAAUCUCCCUUUGAGCGGGGGACAACAUUUAGACACGAAUGCUAACACGGCAUAAAAACUUUAUACACAAGUAUCAAGUGUGAAAGAUGCAAGUGCAUCACUCAAAGACGAUCCCGCGGUGUAUUAGCUAGUUGGUGAGGUAAAGGCUCACCAAGGCGAGGAUACAUAGCCGACCUGAGAGGCGGGGCGGCCAGAUUGAGACGGAGACACGGCCCAAAAGCCUGGGGGGGGCAGCAGGAGGGAACCGUGGGCAAUGGACGGAAGUCAGAACGGGCGACGCCGGGCGAGUGAAGAAGGUCUUCGGGUCGUGAAUGUCUGUUGGUGGGGAAGAACGUUGGUGAGCGUGGAAAGAAGAUCGAGUGACGGUAACUACCCAGAAAGGGACGGCUAACUACGUG